AUGUUGGCAUGAGUAGCGAGAUGUGGGUGAGAAUCCCACAGGCCGUAAACCCAAGGUUUCCAGGGGAAGGUUCGUCCGCCCUGGGUUAGUCGGGACCUAAGCUGAGGCCGAAAGGCGUAGGUGAUGGACAACAGGUUGAUAUUCCUGUACUACCGAUAACCGUUUGAGAGAAGGGAUGACACAGUAGGAUAAGCUAAGCACACUGUUGGUUAUGUGUGCCCAAGCAUUGAGGCAGUCAAAGUAGGCAAAUCCGCUUUGAUAAUGCUGGGAUGUGAUGGGGAGCGAAAUUUAGUAGCGAAGUAGCUGAUUUCACACUGUCAAGAAAAGUCUCUAUCGAGGUUAAA
rnacentral:rRNA from 1 species